rnacentral:rRNA from 1 species
UACAGAGGUCCCAAGCGUUGUUCGGAUUCACUGGGCGUAAAGGGUGCGUAGGUGGCUAGGUAAGUUCGAUGUGAAAUCUCCGGGCUUAACCCGGAAAGUGCAUUGAAUACUAUCUAGCUUGAGGGUUGGAGGGGGGACUGGAAUUCUCGGUGUAGCAGUGAAAUGCGUAGAUAUCGAGAGGAACACCAGUGGCGAAGGCGAGUCCCUGGACAACUCCUGACACUGAGGCACGAAAGCUAGGGGAGCAAACAGG